GUAAAAUUAAGGCUGCCAAGGACCAAAUUGAGGACAUUAUUCAAUUGGUUGGGUCAUAGUGAAAUGAAGGGAGACUUGGGGGGUCAAAGUGUAAAGUUCAGAAUUUAUUUCAUGCAUGCAUACGAAUGGCUUCCUUCAUUUCUGGUUGCUGGAUUUCAACAUGCAAAUAUGUUCACCAUAUGCCAGGAUUUUGACUAUCAAUCACCAACUAAACUUGUAACUUCAUUGUAGGAUUGAAACAAGAAAAUGGAGCUAAUCAUCAAAGGUAGAAAGAAAACUAAACAGCAAAAGAAGGAAGAAGAUUGCUGCGACUGAAGGCUUC
rnacentral:lncRNA from 1 species